ACUGCUAAAAUAAUCAGAAAAUUAUUGAGGCUAACACAGCACCAACUGAACUCUCUGGCUUCUGUGCAUCUCAAGAGAGAGUUUGAUGCAAGGAAGAAUGGUCAGAAGUGUGUAUGAUGGAUGGAAGCCAAGUGAGACAUACUCUCUUGGAAGAAAAAGCUGUCACCAAUAAAUCUCCAGAAACCUGCACUGGAACUCAUGAGCCAAGAUGAGAGGAGAGGGCGUGGCUUACAGGGAAGAGCAUCCUGUGUGGUGAAGCAAAUGAGAAUGGGAAAGCCACUCUUCACCUAAACUCUGCAGAUCAACGUCUAUCACCCAACCCAUCCCACUGAAGAUGCAACCCCAUGAGUGAUUCAUGGCGAGCCAUUGGCUCCACACAGUCACUCCAGGAGAACACCAAGGGUUUGCUUGCACAUAAUUACUCAGAGCUGAGUAGGAGGAAAUCCCUGCCUCGGAUCAUGGGAGAUAAUGGAACGCUAACUAAGGAUGCCUUGGCAAAGGGCAAGUACUUUCCCUUGGACCUUUGAAAUCCUUAAUGAGUUGAAUCAUGUCAAGUAACAAAAUAAACACGGAUGAGAAACAUUGGUUGGGUUUGGUCCAAAGUCUAGUCUGCUUUAAGCCCAGGCUUCCUCUCACCAUUGCUUAAACAUUAUACAGUUUUCUAUCAGCCAAGCCUGUGGUUUUAUUUCAUUUUUUUUCUUAAAUCAGAUUUCAAAAGCAGGCCCUAGCUGAUGGUGAUUAGUAGGCACGGGCUGUCGUUCAUUCUUACUGUUCUUCCCAUGCAUGCAUAAUUUUCAUGAAGAGAAAAGAAAAUCCAAUUACCCCGAAAUCAGCCAGUGAGCAUCAUCUGCUCCUGUGUUACAUCUUUAGAAAUCACUCCUAACGAUCGAAAAGAAGACACAUGCUGUUUGAGAACAGCAUCUUGUAACCUUGUUUAUAAUAUUAGGAAAAAAUAAAAACAGUCCGGUUCUGUGACCAUGAUAUCCCAAUCCACAAAAGUCAAACUGAAGGAAUGCCAACUCUAACGCAUGUGACAAGACUUGUUCAUGUCACAAGGAAUUUGUCGGUAAUUCUACUUCCAAGAUCUUUCAUACAUUUUUAUAAUUUUAAAAGAUACCAUUAAAAUGUUAAAUUUGAAACUUUCUAGGAACGCAUACACUACAUAAACUAAAACCUUAUGCUGUGAAACUAAAUGACAGAGUCUUCAAACCAAGGAGGGCAGGGUUUCUAUUAACAUUGUUGAUAGGAUCCCAUGAAAAAAGAUUCCAGAAUGUUGAUUUUAUUACUAUUUAAUUUCCUUAUUGAAAUAGUUACUAGUUUCAGAAACUUCAUUACCCUAUACGUUCUAGAAAAUAUUUUUUUUUCAGAUUGCAAAAUAAAUUUCGGCAAUAAAAUAUUCCUUUUAUACUUGAAUUAACAUUGUUUAGGUCAUAUAUUUUUCUGCACAUGUUUAUUUUGGGAAUAAACAUGAUGUUUAAAAAUUGA